CCCGGGGAUCCGAUUCCUACGGGAGGCAGCAGUAAGGAAUAUUGGUCAAUGGAGGCAACUCUGAACCAGCCAUGCCGCGUGCAGGAAGACAGCCCUCUGGGUCGUAAACUGCUUUUAUUCGGGAAUAAACCUACUUACGUGUAAGUAGCUGAAUGUACCGAAGGAAUAAGGAUCGGCUAACUCCGUGCCAGCAGCCGCGGUAAUACGGAGGAUCCAAGCGUUAUCCGGAUUUAUUGGGUUUAAAGGGUGCGUAGGCGGCUUAUUAAGUCAGGGGUGAAAGACGGUGGCUCAACCAUCGCAGUGCCUUUGAUACUGAUGAGCUUGAAUACACUAGAGGUAGGCGGAAUGUGACAAGUAGCGGUGAAAUGCAUAGAUAUGUCACAGAACACCGAUUGCGAAGGCAGCUUACUAUGGUGUCAUUACGCUGAGGCACGAAAGCGUGGGGAUCAAACAGGAUUAGAUACCCUGGUAGUCCACGCCCUAAACGAUGAAUACUCGCUGUUAGCGAUAUACAGUUAGCGGCUAAGCGAAAGCGUUAAGUAUUCCACCUGGGGAGUACGCCCGCAAGGGUGAAACUCAAAGGAAUUGACGGGGGCCCGCACAAGCGGAGGAGCAUGUGGUUUAAUUCGAUGAUGCGCGAGGAACCUUACCCGGGCUUGAAAGUUAGUGACGAUACUAGAGAUAGUAUCUUGAGCAAUCACACGAAACUAGGUGCUGCAUGGCUGUCGUCAGCUCGUGCCGUGAGGUGUUGGGUUAAGUCCCGCAACGAGCGCAACCCCUAUGUUUAGUUGCCAGCACGUUAAGGUGGGGACUCUAAACAGACUGCCUGUGCAAACAGAGAGGAAGGAGGGGACGACGUCAAGUCAUCAUGGCCCUUACGUCCGGGGCUACACACGUGCUACAAUGGAUGGUACAGAGGGCAGCAAGCUGGCAACAGCAAGCAAAUCUCAAAAAGCCAUUCACAGUUCGGAUAGAGGUCUGCAACUCGACCUCUUGAAGUUGGAUUCGCUAGUAAUCGCGUAUCAGCAAUGACGCGGUGAAUACGUUCCCGGGCCUUGUACACACCGCC
rnacentral:rRNA from 1 species